GACGAACGCUGGCGGCGUGCUUAACACAUGCAAGUCGAACGGAAAGGCCCUGCUUUUGUGGGGUGCUCGAGUGGCGAACGGGUGAGUAACACGUGAGUAACCUGCCCUUGACUUUGGGAUAACUUCAGGAAACUGGGGCUAAUACCGGAUAGGAGCUCCUGCUGCAUUGUGGGGGUUGGAAAGUUUCGGCGGUUGGGGAUGGACUCGCGGCUUAUCAGCUUGUUGGUGGGGUAGUGGCUUACCAAGGCUUUGACGGGUAGCCGGCCUGAGAGGGUGACCGGCGACAUUGGGACUGAGAUACGGCCCAGACUCCUACGGGAGGCAGCAGUGGGGAAUAUUGCACAAUGGGCGGAAGCCUGAUGCAGCAACGCCGCGUGCGGGAUGACGGCCUUCGGGUUGUAAACCGCUUUCGCCUGUGACGAAGCGUGAGUGACGGUAAUGGGUAAAGAAGCACCGGCUAACUACGUG
rnacentral:rRNA from 1 species